ACAAUGACUUCAUCCGGUUUGUGUUAAGCAACACAUAGGUCUGGAUAGUUUUUUUCGUUCAACCAAAUCGCCACAAUUCUAUCUUUUUCUUCUGCUGAGCCAAUAACAUGCUUACAUUUGAAGUCUUCAGCUACUUCCUUGUACUCUUCCAUUGACAGCUCCUCCUGACUCCCUUUUAAAUCUUUUGUUAUAAGAAGUGAAGAAACAUUGAUCAAGGUAUAGUCCAAUUUCAGGGUACAGCUAUUCUCUCAUCCCUAGCACAUAGAGUCCUCACAUCAGUUUGCCUCACACAAAUCUAUAUGCAGAGACAAAGCUUAAGCUUACCUGUUGAAAGAGGUUUGGAUCAGUGAUUCAGGUGUAUAGUUCCUCAUGAAUGCAACAGAAACUCCAAUCAUUUUCCUCAUCUGAUGAAGCAUAAAGCUAUGUCCAACAACUUCACAGUUGACAAAGUCUUCUCCGUCGAGAGUGAUCAUUGUAUUGGCAUCGAAGGAGAGAAUGUAGUGAUUCGAAGUUGGGUCUGCUGCUUUGGUUUGUGGUGGUUGUGGAAGUUAUGUGAACCAACAUACAUAAUAGCUUAGGAUUCUGAUAAACAUUUAUUUUUCCUUCUCUGCAUAACAGAACUUGCUCAGAGUCUCACACUUUAAUGCAUCACAUUUUAUUUCGAACCAGACAAGAACCCUAGAGGCUAGAACUAGAAUCAAAGGAGACAUACCUCCACGACGAAGUAUAGUGAUCAAACAGCAGUUAGUUAGUGAGGCUUGAAAGCUCUGUAACAUGAUUGAUAUUCGCCCUUCAACUAAUGCGCCAAAUAUUUGGGCCUUUGAAGCCCAUAUAUUGUUCAAACAAUUGGCACCUAAGCUAAUAGGUUACCGUUGGCCACCCAUUUUGAGUACCAUUUAUUUUUCCUUGUUUUUUGUAUCCUAAACUCUUCUUUUUACGUAGACGUAGGAUAUAUAAAUGACAAUUACUUUUGCAUCUUUCAUAAUGAACUGAGAUGUGAUAAACCAUGUGAGCAUCUAUCUACCUACUCCAUAUUUCAGAAAGUCUCUUUUUUUUUGGGAGGUGAGACGUCUAUAAAAGUAGCUCUUCAGAAAUAUUCCAUUUGUGACAUCCGUGAUCUGGCUUCAGAAGAGUUUUUUUUUUUGAUCGAAAACUUCAGAAGAGUUAUUCAUCAUCAUUCAUGAUCCCUUGAUCCCAAUGGGUAUAAAAUGUAAAUCUUGUAAAUUUUCAGUCUGAAAAAUAAAAUGAUAAGAGCUUAGGUUUUAAACUUCUAAGAAUCAGUGUGCUAGACAAUAUAUCAUGAUCAGAUUCUAGAGGUUUAUCGCCAUUGAAGAUUGUCUAAAUUGCUUAGGGUUUCGAACUAAGAAAGAGAUAUGUCAAUAUUUCUUUUCCUUUUUCUUUUUGGUGUAAAUUCUAAUUCUACUAUAUUUUUCAAGUUACAUAAGAAGGAGAUCAACAAAUACAUAUAAGCUUUGUAAAACCUCAUUUCUAUCGUUUUGAGUAGUUUGGAAACUUUGGAUAUCUAUAUUAAUAAAGUUGCCCAGAAACUCUCCUUAGAGUGCCACCUCAGCACACCCUCUUUCUUUUGCCGCCACGUGUCGAAGAGGGAGGAGCUUCACUUUUUUCUUACGGGAGAGUUUAGUUUGCUGGGAGAGUUUGGUUUUUUUUGGGCUUUAGUUUGAAAGAAGAAAAAUCCAAUCCAGUGUUCAUGCUGCUAUGUUUACGUUUACUUGUGUUUACGUAUCCUAUUAUGUUGUUUUUUUUUUUUUUUAAAUCAGCUUCUUAUUUUGCAUUAUGUUUUAAUAAUAUCUAUGUGAGGUUUUCUUUCUUACUAUCAUCAUUUUAUAAUAAUAGCAUUACAUUGUCCCUUAAUACAUUCGUUAAUGAAAACAAAGAAACCAACUUUACGAUCAAGAGUAGAACCAAGACCUAAGCUAUCUUAUACGUACGCAUACGAACUUGAAAACCAGGCCUAUGGCAAAUCAUAAUUCGUUGAUCAUAAAAUUAUUAUCGAGAUGACAAAAAAAAAUACAAAAUCAAACCUGGCAAAAAAAAAUUGGAUUAUAAGACUAUAAAAUUUUACAGACGUAAUAAAUAAAUUAAAUAUAAUAUAAAUACGCAUAUGCGCUAUUUUACUCAUGAUACCCUGUUUAUUUAAUUUGAUAUCCCGUUUAUUUAAUCUUUUAAAUUGAGACCCCGUUUAUUUAAUUUGGACUCCAAACAAAUACAAGUCGAUGCAUAACCACAAUGUUUAAAAGAUUAUAUUUUAAAUCACCUACCACAAUGAUACACACAUUAUUAUCAGAAUUAAAAUUACAAAUACUCAUUCAAUAUUUCCUACAACAAACCGAAACUGUUAAUCAAAUUACAAAAUAAUAUUUUAACCAAACUACAAACAAAAAAUAUUAGACUUCCCGCGUCCUUAUCACGUUUGACCUAUGAUUUUAUCAUGCAUGAAAACUUAAGAAAACUCAUUAAACGGUUUAUGCGCAUGGACUCAAAACCUGUGUUCAUUUUCUGAUACUUAGCCCAAAGCUGAUUUUUAUAAAUUAAAACAACCUAAUAAUAACGUGUACUAAACCACCAAACCUGAUUUAAUAUAUUAAGCCCAAAACGGGUUUCUUCUAUGCGUUUUACUUAUAAAAAUUAAUCUUAGUCAUUCAAAAUUCAUAAACAAAAUCUUGGUCAUUCAAAAUUCAUAAACGAAAUCUUAAUCAUUCAAAAUUCAUAAACAAAAUCUAAGAUUAAUUACUUAUAAAAACUAAUCUUAAUCAUUCAAAAUUCAAAAAAAAAAAAACAAAUCCAUUAAUCCAAUUCUCAUAUAUAUAUAUAUCUAUACUAUUAAAUACAAUAUGAUAACAAAAGAUAAUCAACACCAAAUUUAAACUAUACAUGAAAUCCAAUAUAUACUAAGUUCAAAUGAUUAUCAAAAAAAUAUAAAACAGUUACUAUGAUAUAAGCAUACUUUCCGAAAUUACUUUUAAAAAAUCAAUUACAAAGACAAGAUCACGUCAAGCAAUAAACAUUGCUCGACAUAUAUUGAUCAGACCAAACCCUUGCCACCUACAUAUAAACUCUGAAACUUCCACAAGCACUAACCAGAAGAAAAAAAACACUCAGAUCACAAUGGCCGGAAACAGAGAUCUCUCUAACCUCGAACUCAUGCCAAUUGAUAUGCAAAGAGAAAUCAUUUCACGUGUAGCAAGGCACUCCAGGAGAGCAGUCCGCAACCUCUUGGCUGCGGUUCCUCCUCUUGCCCGCUCCACGGCAGUUCCUAUUGUCUAUAGGAACCUCAAUAUCCAUCCGUUAACCGUUCAUCCACGAGCUGCGUUACAAAGGUACCAAAGUCUUAUGGAAAAUUGCCUCGCAAGCGGUAACUUGCAAGCUCAUUACGUACGGGGGAUACAACAAUAUUUCCACCACCAAAACGUCAAUGGAGGCUUGCUACAUCUUCAGAUCGCAGCAGAAGGAUUGUACGAAAAAGCUGUUUACCUUUAUGGUGUAAUAAUGCUAGCUAAGGGAGAAACGGAAAUUGGAUAAGCAAUGUUAGAUACCCUUGGAUGGAGACAAAGCAAAAACCGAGCUGACAGGUGCUGGAGAAGGGUCAAGCGCUCACUCCAUGGAAUAAGAGUCACAAGACUUGAGUCUUACAUGACUGUUUACCAUAACACAAGGGAGACCAUCGCAUGCCACAGAGAAAAUAUUCACGAGCGCUGUGAUACGUGCUACUAUUAUAAGAAAUUGACAAAGUUUGUUUACAUGAUGUAAACGAACAAAACGUUUGCAACUGAGAGAACCAAGCAUUCCAACCUCUCUUUUUUUUUCAUGUUUUAUUCCUUAAUUUUCAUCUAAGUUAUUUCCAUUUAAACUCUAUCAUUUAUGUAUUUUGAUUUUAAAUAAUAAAUUAUGAUUAGUGAAAGUUUCUAUUAUUAUUAGAAUUACCAACAGUUAUUAUAUUAGGUCAUUAUCGUUUGCUUAAGGAGAAUGAAAUAAGGUUUUACUUCUUCGUCAAGGCAUUGGAAUAUAAACAGAACUCUUCAUGUUAUUAUUCAUUUGACGUUUGUUUCAACCGGACAAAUUUAAUUCAAACAUUACCUAAUUUUUCAAGUUUCAUUAAUCAUCAAAAGAGAACAGAAGAAUAUCUAUCCCUCAACGUAUAUUCAACUUUCAAAAAUGAAGUCAAUUCAACACAAACAAAUAACUCCAAAACAUGGCUACAUCAAAAACAUAAGAAUUACAACAAAAUACAACCGUCCCGCCCGUAGGGCGGACAUGCCACUAGUAUAAAAUAAUAAUGAGUAACUGUAACCCAAUUAAAAUACUAAUGUACAAGCGUAUGAGAAUGUUAAUCCCUUUUUCGGUAAAUAGUAUUAUUUGUGAGUGGAAUUUAUGUCAGUUGCGUUUAAUCUUUGAGAAAUUCAUCUCUGACCCAAGACACACAAGUCCUAACCGGACUUAGUUGAAUCAAACAAAGUCUUAAGUAAGGAGGAAUUUCCCAAAGUUGAAAUUGCCUUUAUGUAAUUUACUCUUAAAGGCAUCGCAUCGCAUGGUAUCUACGUUAUUAAGUGCAGUGGUACAGUUACAAUUUUUUGAGCGUUCAAACCCAACCACACAUUCUAUAUAAUUCUUUUUCAGGUUACAAAACAUUAUUUAGCUUUAUGUGCAUCAUAUUGGCCAGUCCUGAUUGAACCAUUUGAAUUUGGUUGGACGUUUUGUAUAAGUGUUCACUUAACUACUGAAUAAAUUUUCAAGAAUUUUAGGCUAAAGAAAAACAUAGGUCUAAGAAUCUAAGACCAUCAUUAUCGGGGGGUGCUUAGCCGUCUCUUAGGUUAUUUUUUUAAAAAAGAAAAAGAAAAAUACCUAAUAAUGCAAGAGACGUCCCUUAAUUAAGCCCCACAAGAGACGUCCCUUACGGGACACGUGUCGCGACGUCUCCAUCUCUCUCUCAUCUUCUGAAUUUCUCCGUGAAAACUUCCACCGCCAGAAUCACCGCAGUCUCAGUCGCUUCACCACGUCCUCAUCAAUCGUCGCCAUAAGAAAGGAGUACGCCAAUCGGUGGAGAUAACGUGAAGGGGAUUGACUCUCGUUUUGACUCUCUUUGAUUUUUUUUUUUUUGCAGAAGCCUGAUGGCGCCUUUGCUCAAUCCCGUCGUGGGUUCCAUGUGGACUUAGGAACUCGCGAGAAAGAUGUAGGGAUUGAACCGGAUCGGUUCCAACAGAUUUGGAUUUUUGUUUGAAUUUUAAUUUGGGUUGGGGUCAAUUGAGGAGAUUCAAGUCGCAUAAGAAAGGAGUACGCCAAUUGAAAAGGGUUUAGUUUAGUUUUUGUGAUUUUCUUUGGUCUGAUCCUGAUCAGAAGAGUGAAGGAUGGUCUGAUAGCGAUAGAGGUAGUGGAAGAUGGGUAUGAGUUUUUCGCUAAACGGAGAUUAGUGACUAUCUUCUCUGCUCCAAACUAUGGCUGGGAGUUUGACAAUGCAGGUGCGUUAUCGAGCGUGGACCAAUCUCUUGUCUGCUCUUUUGAGAUUCUGAAACCUGCCCCAUCUUCAAGCGGUAUUGCUCUCAAAAAGGGAUCUUUAAGGGAGGAAGACCAGUGGUUAUAUGAAUGAUAUUCAAGAGUUUGAGCCUGUGGUAAGGCCGCCAACGAUGGAAUCAAACUAUCCUUUGCUGGAGAUUGAAGAGGUUGUGGCUGGUGGUGAUGUAAUCAAACUAUCCUCAUAGCAACUGUGUACGUGCCUACUGCUAAAGGACCUUUCCUUGAGGAUCUCUCUCGCUCUGUGGUGCCUCCAAAGAAGCCAAGCAUAGCUGAGGAGCCUGCAACAUCUCUGUCUCCGUUCUCUACGGCUCGUGCAUCUCACAACACAGAUAACUCUUCUUCUCUUACCAUUCUUCUCAUGCUCAGAAAAUAAUCAAAAACUUUUUAUACAUUUUUAUCACAAAUUCAUACAUUUUGAUCACAAAUUAUACAAUACUCAAGAACAAUAUUUUUUUUUUUUUAAGAACCCAUAAAUAAGAGACUCCCCCAUUGGAGCAUAAAAAUAUUGAUGUCUCUUAACUAAGUCACUUAAGUAAAAUUUAAUAUUUAAAAAUCAUUAAGAGACCCAAAGUGGGUUUUUGGGUUAAUGAUGCUAAGACUUUGAAUACUGUUUAUCUACUCUAGUACACUGACACUCGUCGUUAAACCACAAUCAGUUAAUGAAAUCUUAAGAAAUGAACGCAUAACCAGGAGUGAAGGAAGGAUACCCGAAAGUAAGUGAUGUGAAUAUUAUAUAGUCAUGGGACUUCAAUAUUCAUUUUUGAAUUAUAUAACAAAAAGCCGAUAUUUUGUGACAUCUUAUCACUUGUCGACGUUCGACCAAACCCAACACUGUCUUUUCCAUUCUUUAUCUUCUUCAUUUUCUCUUGUUCGUUUCUGCACUCAUUAUCUUAAAUUUUUAUUUUAAGGAUUAAUUUGGAUUUAAGAUUUCAGUAAUACUCUACAACGGUAUAAAGAACAGCCUAUAUAAGACAUUCACCAUCAUGUGAAAUGUUGCUCCUUUUCUCAAAUAAAUAAAAGAAAUGCUGCCCAAAGAGAUUUUCAAUCAUGGAUUCUCACGUAGAUCUUCCCAAUAAAAAGGAAAUUCAAUUAUUCGUCUUUUAAAAAUAUGAUUAAUCACACCCAUACUAAGCAUUAAAGCAUACGAUAAAUAUAACUUUUGGAGUAAAUAUUCAUUUUUAAGAAGAAUAAUUGAGUAAAAAUAUUUUGCAUAUAUUUCUGAUUUUUCUAGCUAUGUUGUAUUCACUCUAAAAAGCACAUUUUACGAAAGCUCUUUCUAUUAAAAAAAAAAAAGACAAGAAGUGAGAGAACCAGAAUAUUUUUUGGUGUAAAUGUUAAAAAUUAGAGAACAUAGAUAGUUUCUCGUUUGAAACUCAAAAUAAAUUGUGAGAAAGCUACUUACUUGUCAUAUUGUAAUUAGUUUUGAUUUUUUUUAAAAAAAUUUAAUUUUAGUUAUUGAGAAGAGCUCUAUCGAUGUUGAUGUUCUAAGAAGCUUGUGAUCCAGACCCGAACAAACUUAUUAUUUAUUUUCAUAAAAAUAUUGGAUGUUUUCAUAUAUAUUCAACUGGAAUUUUUGAGCAAGGCAACUUAUGACCUAUAAGUGAGGUCGUAAUAAAUUAAUAAUGUAACUAUGUAAGUAUAAUAAGUAUACAAAAUCGUAAUCAAACCUUUGGUUCAUGGAUUUUUUAAUUAAUACACCUGAUAAUUCUAGUAAAUGGCGAUAAUGAUGAUGGUAUAUGCAUGAGAGUGUCUACGCAUGCAUAAUGGAAAAGGUUCCAAAGAAGGGAAUAAAUUCGCCAAAACAUAAUUAUGAUUUGUGCGGGCGACUUGAAAAUGUUUUCUUUAUUAGUAAAUCAAUUUUCAGUCUUUCACCAACCUUUCAAGGACAAGAACCACACAUAUUGAAAAUAUUAUACAAAUGUUGAAAUGUAUACACCACAUGACACAUGUAGAAGGGUUACAAAUGUUGGCAUAAGAAAAAGAUUAUGCAAACAGGUUUUACGUUUUUCUAGUAUGUACAUGGCCAUCUCUGUUUUCUUACUUGCUCAAGUUAUAAAUAUAAAACAUUUUCACAUACACUUUAAUUGUUAAGGUAAAAUCACUAUAGUACAGAUUUUGAAAUACAAUGGCCUGUAAUGAUCUGGAAAGCAGAAAUUUGAAAACAUUUAUUAAAUGAUUUAAUCAUACAUUCACUGACAUCAUCACAAUCCGACAAACCCGAUGUUUCAGUUUUUACUUUCAUUAUCAUUGAAUGCAAAUAAAUACGAAACCCAUUUCAUGGGAGAGCUUGGUUGAAUUCACAGAUUUCUUCAUUUAAUAAAAAUAUGAAAAAACAAAUAAAAGACAGAUGUGAUGACAAAAAA